UACGUAGGUGGCAAGCGUUGUCCGGAUUUACUGGGCGUAAAGAGCGCGCAGGCGGUCGUUCAAGUCGCGUGUGAAAGCCCCCGGCUCAACUGGGGAGGGUCACGCGAUACUGAUCGACUCGAAGGCAGGAGAGGGUAGUGGAAUUCCCGGUGUAGUGGUGAAAUGCGCAGAUAUCGGGAGGAACACCGGUGGCGAAGGCGGUUCUCUGGGCCUUACCUGACGCUGAGGAGCGAAAGCGUGGGGAGCGAACAGG
rnacentral:rRNA from 1 species